GGCCUCGUAGCUCAGCUGGAUAGAGCACCGGACUUCUAAUCCGACGGUCGCAGGUUCGAAUCCUGCCGAGGUCGCCA
rnacentral:tRNA from 1 species